AUUGAACGCUGGCGGCAGGCUUAACACAUGCAAGUCGAACGGAGUGGCGGACGGGUGAGUAAUGCUUGGGAAUCUGCCUGGUAGUGGGGGAUAACGUCCGGAAACGGGCGCUAAUACCGCAUACUAUCAGAUGAGCCUAGGUCGGAGUCGCUAGUUGGUGGGGUAAAGGCCUACCAAGGCGACGAUCCGUAACUGGUCUGAGAGGAUGAUAAGUCACACUGGAACUGAGACACGGUCCAGACUCCUGCGGGAGGCAGCAGUGGGGAAUAUUGGACAAUGGGCGAAAGCCUGAUCCAGCCAUGCCGCGUGUGUGAAGAAGGUCUUCGGAAUGUAAAGCACUUUAAGUUGGGAGGCGUUACCAACAGAAUAAGCACCGGCUAACUUCGUGCCAGCAGCCGCGGUAAUAC
rnacentral:rRNA from 1 species